rnacentral:antisense_RNA from 1 species
GUGGGAGGGGGCUUGCUCCCGAUAGCAAUGUUUCAGUCAGCAUUGAUACCGGCUGAUACACCGCCAUCGGGAGCAAGCCCCCUCCCAC